rnacentral:rRNA from 1 species
AGGGUAACCUUUAUGGAGCCAGCCGCCGAAGGUGGGACAGAUAAUUGGGGUGAAGUCGUAACAAGGUAGCCGUAUCGGAAGGUGCGGCUGGAUCACCUCCUUUCUAAGGAAAAGGA